UACUUCGAGGAGUGGCUAGCGGAGCGCCUGUAGCUGGUGCGGCAGUGGCUCUGGCUGGAGUGGUGAGUCAAAGAGGUACCGGAACUGUUCACGGAGCUGUGGUAGGCACAGCAGGAGCCCCUGGUCCCGGAGGGCAAGCUGUGGCAGGAAAGUGCCCACCAAGACCGGCUCCUCAGAGUCCGCGUCGUGCGGCCGCUUCUCUCGCGAAGCCGGAAGCGAGAAAGACCGCCUGGUUCGAGGAGGUGAGUAAGACAGGAGGUGAGCAAGGUAGGAGGAGGAGUAUGCGUAAGGGAGGAGACGAAGAAGAAAGAGUUUAGUGAAGUAUGUACCGUAGAGUACGAGGUGCGUCUCUGCCGCGCAUGUCGGCAGCUAAAAAAACAACGGUACGAGCCGGGUUGGAGAGGGUACAGCGUCACAUCCGGUACAAGCGACGGUGGCACCUACGACCACGGAAGCGACAUACUAAAAAACGAUGUAGGUAAAAAGAACGAACUUGGCGAGGUAAAAAAGGACCUUGGUCUCGAGCUGAAACGAUGUUACGAUCCUGCCACCGACGGUUCGUAAAACGACGUAGCUAAAAAAACCGACCUUGAUCGUUAAUCAAAACGAUGUAGGUCGGCUUUCGUCUCGACCUUGACAAAAAGUAAAUACGAUGGUGAUCGCUUUUGGUAAAAAAACAACAACUUCGUAAAAACGACCUUGGUCGUUGGUGCUUUCGAUGUUGGCCCUCUCAUGUCCAAAAAACGCUCGAGCAGCCUCCUCCACGACGCGGGCUGCUGGCGGCACGCGGCCCCUACGCCGCCGGCGGUGGCCUCGACACUGACAGCUUUGCCCCUGGACGUUGAUGUCCCUGUUCGACGACGUAAGUGCCUCGGCCGCUCUUUGUUUUCUCUGCUGCUGCCGUUGCCGCCGCGGCCGCCGGCCGUUCCCGCCGCUGUCCGCUUUAUGCGGCCCGUCUCGAAGAUC
rnacentral:rRNA from 1 species